GAUGAACGCUGGCGGCGUGCCUUAUACAUGCAAGUCGAGUGGGUUUAGACCCACGGCAAACGGGUGAGUAACCCGUAGGUUCUUUCCUUGUCACAGGAAUAACCCUCCGAAAGGAGGGCUAAUACCUGAUGUGAUCGCAAGAUUAAAGGGUAUCCGCAAGGAUUACCGGACAAGAAGAGGCCUGCGGCCUAUCAGCUAGUUGGCGGGGUAAAUGCCCACCAAGGCUAUGACGGGUAGCUGGUCUUAUGAGGAUGAUCAGUCACAUGGGCACGGAGACACGGGCCCAACUCCUACGGGAGGCAGCAGUAGGGAAUUUUGCGCAAUGGGCGAAAGCCUGACGCAGCGACGCAGCGUGCGGGAUGAAGGCCUUCGGGUCGGAAACCGCUUUUAUAAGGGACGAACUUUGACGGUACCUUAUGAAUAAGAGGUUGCUAACUCUGUG
rnacentral:rRNA from 1 species